ensembl:lncRNA
AUGAGUGUUAACCGUUUGAUUCUCCGGCUUUUUGACACGGUCGCAGCUCCAUCUCGCCCAGCCUGGAAGCGAAAGACACUCUGGGACCCCAAGUCGCCACCGAGGAGAGCGAGAGCCCAGGUCCCGGGGCGGACUCAGGGGUCCGGCGGCUCGGAGGCCUGCCCUGAGUCCCCCAAACCCGACCCCCGGCCCCCUCGAAAGGGCCGACAGGUACGCACUCACUUCCGGCGGGCCCCAGAGCUCCGGGAACCCGCGGGGGUAGGAGUGGGGGGGUCGGGGACGGAUCCCUUAGCCGUGCGGGUCGCGCCCCACCCCGGGAGUGCCGCCCGCUUCCCCGAGCUCUGGCCGCCCCCGAAGCGUGGCUGGCGACGCUGCCGGGCCCGAGGUGGGCCUCGCUUCUACUUACUGCUGGGGAGCCAGCCCCGCGUGGCGCGCCUCGCUUUCCCCGCCCCGAGCGCGGCCGCCGCAACCUCCCGCCUUAAAGGGCCGGGGGCCGGGAGCCGGGAGCGGGCCAGGCACCAGCAGCGCGGGCAGGCGGCGGAGGUGGGCGGUGCGCGCGCCCGGAGACACGCGUUUCCGGUCCCUCCUACCGCGGACAGGUGUUCCCAGGGCGCUGCGGGGCGCGGGGUCGCAGGUGUGCCGGUGCGCGCCGGAGGAGGACGCUGGGGGAGAGGAGAUCGGGCCUCCCUCCGCAGGGUCCCCAAGAGACACCUAAUCCCAAUUGCUAACUAAUCAGCCAUCUCCCCUCACCGAAGACUCCGAGGGGCAAGCAUCUCCCUAUUCUUUUAUAGAAACAUAAAUUGCCAGCUAAGUAUGAUUUCUACCCAAAAGAGUGCUAAGCAGAGUUUGCAGAUGUGGCAGGCUCCUCCCUUGAUACUUUUGGGAAGGGCACAUAGACCUUGGCAUACCUUGCUUCAGAAGUAGGCAAUAGCAAACAGCAUGCUCCUUCCGUCUACUUCCCAGAAGGGAAAGUCCUUAUGUAAUGGGAACAGAUGGGUCAAUGGUACCAGGUGGAGAGUUGCCCUGAGGGGCUUUCAUAUUACCACAUCCUGAGAUUUUGGUGGCUAUAUUAGUUUAUGCAUGUAAAGCACUUCACAGUGCAUGUUCGCAGGGAAAUUACUAGUUAAACAUAGCAAUCACAGUAACAUUUAAAGUCAUGUUUUCAUGAGAUGGUUUCAUUUUACACUGGACACUUCAUUUGCUGAAACCAUAGAUUCUAAGUUGCUCUACCAAAGUAAUCACUAGAAAAAUGCGAUGUUGUCAGCAUGUAGAUUUUAGGAGAUUUCUCCGAUUGCUCCUAAAUUUGAUUUAAGGUGAACACUAUUUUCAAACAUACAAUUCGAAACAUCACAAAAUGCACAUAACCAAUGGCAAAUUUGUUUCUGAAAGCACCUGCAGAAAUCUGUGUUCUUCCUAACUUCUAAAACACUCAGAGAGCAAGGAGGGAAAGGGAUUGCUUAGAUGCCAGGUAGUGCAGAAGAUUUAGAUUUGGUUACAGUACAUUUAACGUGAUCCAUUGUAAGGUGAUGAUCUGGACAAACCUGAUCAUAGUGAAGGAACUGGCUUGGUUGGGGGGGGGGGUGUUUUAAUUGAAGGAAUGUUGCUCACCACACCUCUCCCUCCCUCCCCCACAUUUUUAUAUUAAAUAGUGUUUACCAGAGAAGUGAAACCCACUGGGAUUUUAUAUUUGUGUCCAAUAAGAAGUCUGACUACUCUGAGACCACCACACCCUGAGGGAUACCCAACCGGUCCCUGAUGUUCCGGCCUCUGUGGGCCAGGCCCCUGAUGUGUGAGUGAAGAAGCUGCCUGGGCCCUCGGGCCUCGGGAGUCACGACAUACAGAAGGCCGGAGGAGCCCAGCUGACAGCCAGAACCGCUGCUCCAGACGGAUGGCCCCAGGUGAGCCAGCCUGGCCGGCUCCAGUGGCCAGACUCACUCCAGCUGAGGCCGCGGGGGGUGCUGGGGCGGCGCGCGUGCACAGUUCUCACCGUGUCCUGCCUGCUGUCCUCACCCACACACACUUGAGGGCAUUAUAAAAUAGCUGUGGUUUUAAACAAUGCUGUCAGGGAACAGAAACUAGAAGCAGAGGCACAAAAGAGAAUAGAGAAUACCAAAAAAUAAGGAAUGGUUAUAAUCGCUCUUGAAUUGUGAUUGUUGGUCCUCUCAGAUUCAAAUUUUUUCAUUCAUGUAUCCUCUCAUUCCAGAAAAGUGUAUGAAAGGGCUGCAAGCCAGGCAUUAUACUUAGCGCUGGGGAUACAAAACCUGAAUAAAAUAGCUCUGUCCUC